GGAGGGAUCGCAUAGAGGCCUAGUGCGGCCGCCUGCUAAGCGGUUAGGGGGCUUAAUACCCUCUCAUGGGUUCGAAUCCCAUUCCCUCCGCCA
rnacentral:tRNA from 2 species